AAUGAGAUGCAGACUUUUAGACUUUAGAGAGAGAAGGUAAGAGUCUGAGAAAGUAGAGAGAGAGCAGCAAAGAAAAAGGAUUCGAUGGGUUCCGGCCGCCGGUGAUGGAGGAGCCAUGGUGCCUUUAGGGGGCGUUUGGGUUAGCUUAUUUUGGAGCAACUUAUGACUUAUUGACUUAUAAAAGUUAAUAAGUUAUUUUCUAAGUGUUUGGGUUAGCUUAUUUUGAAGAAGUUUGUGUCUUGAGAAGUCAUUUAUUGAGAAGUUAGAAUUUCUAACUUCUCACUUUUGACUUAUAUAAGUUAAUAAGUCACUUUGAGAAGGAAUGCCAAACACCCACUUAGAUGGAGCUACACCAGUGAUGGUCUAGGUGGUGUUGGGUUGGAGAAAGAAACAACAGUGGUGGUGCUAGGGUUUGAUAGAGGAUGAUGGUGGUAAGAGGCGGUGGUUCAGUUAUGUGCCGACUUCUUCCUUUUCUUAAAACCCCCUUAUGUCUUGUCUCUCAUGUCCUUAUCAUUCCUCUAGGGUUCUCCCCUUUCUCCGACGAAGGAGCCGACAACGGUAGUGAUGGCCGGCCAUGACAAAGAUGAUGGUGUUUCUUUUGUUGAGAAGUGACAGUGGUAGUGAUGGUCGGGAAGACGAUGGUGUUUCUUUUGUUGAGAAGUGGCGGUGGAGACAAAGAUUAGGGUUUCGCGAUGUCUUCUGGUAUAGUUCAUGCCAAACUCAGGUAAGGUUCGACUCUAUUAGUAUUCCGUAAAACCGAGCCACUUUGUCGUCUUUACCAAAGAAAUUAUAUAUUCUUAUGUUACCCUUAAAAAAUAACUGAAUUUGACUUAAUAGUGUGACCGUUUGAUCAAGCUGAGAUGAGAUAUCAGCCGUGUAAAUUAACCCAAUUCUUCUAGAAGGAGCAGUUUUUCAGCGGUUGUAACUUGUAUGUUGUAACCUCCUGUUUUUGAGGAUGAACCUGGGUAACCAGAAUCAUGUAUUUUAAUAGGCCACUCCGAUGUGAUUCAAAUAUUUCUUUUGAUAUUUGAUUUGCCAUAUGAAGCUGUAUCAACACUCUUUUAACCCACUCGGUAGUGCGUGAUGUUCACUCAACUCUAUCAACGACGCCCGCCACCGGCGAUGACGUAGCGGUGGUGAAUAGUGAAUUGGAGACGGACCCACCCGAAGGUUCUGUGGAAGAGGUACACUGAAUGUCUGUACCAGCAUAAAGAACUAGGCUUGUAUUUGGAUGUGAGCCGGGUCAGGUUUACAUAUGGGUUUGUGAGGGAGAUGGAGCCUAGGUUUGCUAAGGCGAUGGAGGAGCUUGAAAAGGGGAUGAUUUUAAACCCAUGUAUGUUUUUCCUUUUGAUUUUUGACUACUUAAUAUGUUUUAGUUUGAUGCCCAAGUACCUCUCUAAUUCACUUAAUAAUGAAUGGGUUGAUAUUUUUUUUCCAACAACGGCUCGAUGCCCUUGAGAUGGAAACAGGGUACCCGACACAACCCCAAUCGCAGAUUGGAAGGUUACCAUUUAAAGAACAUCAAAUAUGAUAGCUGGAGUUCAAAUUUCAUCCUGCUUGUAUAGAGAUGACACCAAAGGAGGCUAAACAGAUAUGGCUAAUGCAAUUGUCUUGGCAGACUGAUUUCUUGCAAAACUACAAUCUUUAAACUGUAACUCGAAAGGCCCUCAUGUUUUUUUUUUUUAACGACCAACAAAAUCAAUCCCUAGCACUCUCGGGGCACCCACUGCACCAAACGGAGUACCCCGAGGUUAAUCCGAGUCCACCACCAAUUCCAGGGAAAGGCUCUCAUGUUGGCUGAAAUAUUUGAUUAUGUCCACUUUUCAAGUCCUUACAAAAUCAAGUUGAGGCGUGUGUGAGUGUGUGUAUAUAUUUCUGUUUCAUUAUGUUAGUUAGAGAAAAUAUACUUUUCUAAUUAUGAAUUAAUAAACAAAUUUCAAAGUAGGCUGAUUUAGGUUGUGGUUUAUCUGUAGUGGAGUAGUGGGUCAAGUAGGAAAGGUAAGUUCAAAGAGAACAUGUCAAAUGGUUGAAAUUCAUCUCAAAUGUAUUUUUAAUGUUUAUCGCUCCCACAUUGUAUUAAUUAAAAAAUAGAAUAUUACGGUACAACAAAGCUAUUGUAGGCGUUCUAACAAGUAUUGAUACAUAGCUUGGAGGUUAGGUGAGUUUAUUUAUUUACUUUUACGAUUAUUGUUAUUAUUAUAUGUUUUGGUUUACUAAAUGGCCUGAAAAUGUUCUAAUAUGCAGUAUGGUGACGGAACCCAUAUCAGUUGGUUUGAACGUUGGUCUUGACAUUGUUAGGGGGCUCCAGUUUUCUUUGUUGAUGAUUUACGUGCAUGCCAAUAUUUUAAAUAGAUAUCAUCUGAAACUAAAGGAAUCUGAACAAUCAUUAUUAUUGGGAAUAAGAAGAUGGUAUGAUGUUAGAAUUCUAAUUUA